CGUAUUCUUGGUAAAGAAGUCAAUUUUCUAUCCUCCUAAGAAAAAGGAUGAUUCUGUAGCUGUAGUGACGGUAGUUGACGGUUUAAAUUCCAGUCUCCUGCAUGAGCAAAUCUUCUAUCUGCUUCAAAUUUUGGUAUAUUGAUCUGUGAUCUCAAUCUGACAUCUCCAUUUUCAUUGUUCAGAGUUCUUCGGAGAUUGUUCCGAAGGUUUGCCACUAUUUGAAGCGACCGGACAACUACUAGGAAAACCAAAUACCAUGGCGGAUCUGAUUCCACCACCACACAGAUCGGCCAACGACCUCUUUUCCGAUCCACUUGAUUCUCAUCCUCUCUGGUUCAAGCCUAACCUAUUCCUCUCCCCCAAUUUUGAUUCCGAGUCCUACAUUUCUGAGCUUCGAACAUUUGUCCCAUUUGACACCCUCCGAUCUCAGCUCCACUCUCAUCUUUCCGCUCUCAACCGUGAGCUCAUUGAUUUGAUCAAUCGUGACUAUACCGAUUUUGUAAACCUGAGCACAAAGCUUGUCGAUGUGGAAGCGGCAGUCGUGCGAAUGCGAGCUCCUUUGGUUGAACUCAGGGAGAAAAUUGAGCAAUUCAGGGCUUCCGUCGAGUUCUCUCUCUCAGCUUUGCAAAAUGGAUUGCGGCAGAGAUCAGAGGCAGCAUCAGCCAGAGAGGUCUUGGAAUUGUUGCUUGAUACAUUUCACGUCGUGUCGAAGGUUGAAAAACUAAUCAAGGAGCUUCCAAGUGCUCCUGCUGAUGGCUCAAAUGGAACUACGAAUUUAACAGAUAAUAGUGGAUUAAGUAAUGGUGCUUCUUUACCACACAUGGAGAACGGAACAAAUCUUAGGGAAACACAAAGCAUGCUCUUGGAAAGAAUUUCCAGUGAAAUGAACCGGCUAAAAUUUUACAUUGCUCAUGCACAGAAUCUUCCCUUCAUUCAAAAUAUGGACAAGAGGAUUCAGAGUGCCAGCCUUUUGUUGGACACAAGCUUGGGACAUUGUUUUGUUGAUGGACUUGCACAUCACGAUGAAAAUGCUAUUUACAACUGCCUACGUGCCUAUGCUGCUAUAGAUAACACCACAAGUGCAGAGGAAAUUUUUCGCAGUACUGUUGUAUCACCAGCAAUUCAUAAAGUUAUUCCUCAUAAAGUUUCUGGCAUGGACGCUGGAUCAUCUGAUGAUGAUUUGGAGAAUGAUUACAAGCAAAUGAAGCAAUAUAUUGAUAAAGACUGCAAGUUUUUGUUAGAAAUAUCUGCUACAGAAAACUCAGGACUACAUGUAUUUGAUUUCUUGGCUAAUUCAAUCCUGAAAGAGGUUCUCUCUGCUAUCCAAAAGGCAAAACCAGGUGCAUUUUCCCCAGGGAGACCUACUGAAUUCUUGAAGAACUACAAGUCGAGCCUUGAUUUCUUGGCAUACUUGGAAGGCUAUUGUCCAUCCAGAUCUGCUGUUGCUAAAUUUCGAGCAGCAUCUGUAUAUAAUGAGUUCAUGAAGCAAUGGAAUAUCGGUGUUUAUUUUUCUCUGAGGCUUCAGGAAAUAGCUGGAGCUUUGGAUUCGUCACUGUCAGCACCUAUUCUAACCCCUGUACAAACUUCAUCUUCUGGCCGGGUAAACAAUGAGGAUCUAACGUUAAAGCAGAGUGUAACGCUUUUAGACUGCCUGACAGCAUGCUGGAGAGAUGAUGUUCUCGUCCUUUCUUGUUCUGACAAGUUUCUUCGUCUAUCUUUGCAGCUCCUUUCAAGAUACUCUAACUGGUUGUCAUCUGGUCUAGCUGCCCGUAACACGGGUACAGGCUCCCAUCCAGGUUCUGAAUGGGCUGUAGCAGCUACCCCCGAUGAUUUAAUAUAUAUAAUCCAUGACCUUGGUUAUCUAUCCACGGUCGUAACUGGUAACUUCUUGGAAACUAUACUUCAGCUCCUAUCGUCAUGCACCGUAGAUGUUCUUGAUUCAGUAAAGCAGAGCAUUUUACACGGUGGAAAAUCAUUGUAUAAUUUAAUGCCCAAAGUUAUUGGUGCCAUAGUUGCUUCACUGGUUGAGAAGUCUGUUGAGGACUUGAGACAGCUGAAGGGUAUUACAGCAACAUACAGGAUGACCAAUAAACCACUACCUGUAAGGCAUUCACCCUAUGUAUCAGGGUUGCUACGCCCUCUGAAGGUGUUAUUGGAUGGAGACAGGGCAUCUACUUUUUUGACAAUGGAAACAAGGACUGCACUGUUGACCGAUGCUGUGACUGAGAUUACUUCACGUUAUUAUGAGCAAGCAGCUGAUCUUGUUAGCUUGGCCAGGAAAACAGAUUCGUCACUCCAGAAAAUUCGGCAGGGAGUACAAAGACGAGCUGGAGCAAGCUCAGAUGUUUCAGACCAUAACAUUUCCGACACUGACAAGAUUUGCAUGCAACUCUUUCUCGAUAUUCAGGAGUAUGGUCGCAACCUUUCAUCCCUAGGGGUUGAAGCAGCGAGUAUUCCAACAUACCUCUCAUUUUGGCACUUGGUUGCUCCUUCAGACAAGCAAAGCUCCAUUAGUUUCUGAUGUUCUAUCAUCGGAAUAAGCAUACGUUUGGCUUUGUGGCUGUAUUUCUUUUUCUCUCUAAAUUGGUGAUGGUGUUCAUAAUGGGAAUCAAAAUUUUGUAGAUUCAACAACGAAGCUUCCAUGGGAUCUGGUUUGGUAGAAAGAUUUAUUGAUAAAUAUGUUAGAAGUUAUUAUUCUGUCUUUACUGUCACAUUUUAUUUUAUUUUUGUUUUUUCUUAAUAAAUAAAUUUUUAUACUAUAAAUAUUUCAGUAGGGAUGAAAUUCUAAUUUGUCUGAGCUAUGUUUAGGUUAAUUUCAUCUUGAUUUUUGUUAGUGUUAUAAA